GAUGAACGCUGGCGGCGUGCCUAAUACAUGCAAGUCGAGCGAACAGACGAGGAGCUUGCUCCUCUGACGUUAGCGGCGGACGGGUGAGUAACACGUGGAUAACCUACCUAUAAGACUGGGAUAACUUCGGGAAACCGGAGCUAAUACCGGAUAAUCUAUUGAACCGCAUGGUUCAAUAGUGAAAGACGGUUUUGCUGUCACUUAUAGAUGGAUCCGCGCCGCAUUAGCUAGUUGGUAAGGUAACGGCUUACCAAGGCAACGAUGCGUAGCCGACCUGAGAGGGUGAUCGGCCACACUGGAACUGAGACACGGUCCAGACUCCUACGGGAGGCAGCAGUAGGGAAUCUUCCGCAAUGGGCGAAAGCCUGACGGAGCAACGCCGCGUGAGUGAUGAAGGUCUUCGGAUCGUAAAACUCUGUUAUUAGGGAAGAACAAAUGUGUAAGUAACUAUGCACGUCUUGACGGUACCUAAUCAGAAAGCCACGGCUAACUACGUG
rnacentral:rRNA from 1 species